rnacentral:rRNA from 1 species
GACGAACGCUGGCGGCGUGCUUAACACAUGCAAGUCGAACGGAAAGGCCCUGCUUUUGUGGGGUGCUCGAGUGGCGAACGGGUGAGUAACACGUGAGUAACCUGCCCUUGACUUUGGGAUAACUUCAGGAAACUGGGGCUAAUACCGGAUAGCAGCUGCUGCUGCAUGGUGAGGGUUGGAAAGUUUCAGCGGUUGGGGCUGGACUCGCGGCUUAUUAGCUUGUGGGGGGGGUAGUGGCAUAGGCAGGCUUUGGCGGGUAGCCGGCCUGGGAGGGUGACCGGCCACAUUGGGCCUGCGAUACGGCCCAGACUGCUACGGGAGGCAGCGGUGGAGAAUAUUGCACAAUGGGCGGAAGCCUGAUGCAGCAUCUCCGCGUGCGGAAUGACGGCCUUCGGGUUAUAAACCGCUUUCGCCUGUGACGAAGCGUGAGUGACGGUAAUGGGUAAAGAAGCACCGGCUAACUACGUG